rnacentral:lncRNA from 1 species
GAAGCACAUGACUCGAAAUAAUUUUGCAUGGAACAGCAAGGGUCCCAUCCUGUUCUAGGUCAGGAUGUUUCAAGGUGGUCAUGGAAAGAAUGAUAGAACAUGGACAAACUGAACGCCUACUUUGUGAACAUUCAUCUCAAGGUGUCGGAGUAACAAGAUUUUUGAGGGCCAUAGUUCCAACCAGUUCAUAUCAGAAUAGCAGAAAGAACAAACUUACUAUAAGAAAUGAUGAGCCAAAUCGAGGCAAUCUUUCAACAAUGUAAGCACAUUCUUCAGGUAAAGCAAAUGUAGUAGCACAAAACAGUACUCCUUUUCUUUGAGGAAAUAAAAGCAUAAAAACCUGCUUUCUCAUAUUGGUAAAAAGGGUGCUUUCCAUUUACAACAUCAAGAAUAAGCUUCAAUUGCAGGAUAACAAAGCACCGAAACAAGAAGGGAGAAGCAUAUAAUAUGCAUACAAACAAAUAUAUAGAUGAACUUGGUUGCAUCUUUAACUACAAAAUACUAAUGUUAAGAGGUUUAGACGUGGCUUUUAUGAUUUAGCCGCCACCAUUUAUUCCCAUGGAGGGCUGACAUCCAUUACCAUGAAGGUACUAUUUUCUGUAUACUUCUCAAACUUCAGCCCCAAGCCAUCUCAACUCAUUUGCCACAACUUCUGGAUAACAACUCCAUGCCCCUUAUACUACCAGUGUCUUUUCAGAUAUUCCUUGCAUAUGCUAACUACCUGUACUUAUAUCUAUCGGCGCUAAAUUCUUAAAUUUUCCCCUGAAUUCAAUUGUACGGAUUUCUAAACCUUCUCAUCACAUGGCCACCCCAAUCAUUCUCAUCAAUGCAAAUGCUUAUCUGUGUCCAAAGCCCAUUAUUUUCCAACACAGUUCAACACUAUAAACCUUAGUAUUGACCUUAAUUUGUUACCCGGCAUCUCAAAAGAUGGUGGCGACUGCAUUGCCCCAAAGAACGAAUUUUCCACUUCGCCCACUAUUCACCAGUCUUCUUUUAUCUCUCUUUGUAUCUGUGUAUAAUUAGUCCACAAUGAUCAAAGCUAGGAUGCAUAGGAAGAAAUUCUUAAGCAUUAGAAGAAGAAACAAUGCACACUUGCACCUUAGUCCAUGCAUUAUAGGCUGCCAUCCAAUCACAUGUAACCUGCUCCCUUCUGAAUCUGCUAUAUCAUACUGUCCACAGUGCAUAACUACAAAAAUAUUUAGUUGCUCCCUUCGGAAACCUUUUCAAAUCUAGUGAGGUUUACAAAUAUAGCAGCAUCCAUAUGAUAGUUUCACUAAUGACAGGACUCCCCUGAAUUUCAAUGAGCCAACUGCUAAACUCUCUCCAACAUUUUGGCAGACAUAUGUUAGCGGUUGGA